GACGAACGCUGGCGGCGUGCCUAAUACAUGCAAGUAGAACGCUGAAGGAGGAGCUUGCUUCUCUGGAUGAGUUGCGAACGGGUGAGUAACGCGUAGGUAACCUGCCUGGUAGCGGGGGAUAACUAUUGGAAGCGAUAGCUAAUACCGCAUAAGAGUAGAUGUUGCAUGACAUUUACUUAAAAGGUGCAAUUGCAUCACUACCAGAUGGACCUGCGUUGUAUUAGCUAGUUGGUGAGGUAACGGCUCACCAAGGCAACGAUACAUAGCCGACCUGAGAGGGUGAUCGGCCACACUGGGACUGAGACACGGCCCAGACUCCUACGGGAGGCAGCAGUAGGGAAUCUUCGGCAAUGGACGGAAGUCUGACCGAGCAACGCCGCGUGAGUGAAGAAGGUUUUCGGAUCGUAAAGCUCUGUUGUAAGAGAAGAACGAGUGUGAGAGUGGAAAGUUCACACUGUGACGGUAUCUUACCAGAAAGGGACGGCUAACUACGUG
rnacentral:rRNA from 1 species